AUUCCGACACAACAAGCCUACGCUCAAGCUGUGAUCCCAACAGAGAAGAAAGCUUUUCAGGUCUGAGCUGCUCUCCUUCAGUGAGCUGCAGCCCUGCCGGCUCCGCUCCCAGGAAGUGGAAGCACUUGCUCUUGUUUAUUUUUAUCUGAAACAUCUCAGGCCAUUUGACACCCACUUUGCUAUUUAUUUUGCCUCCUCCUUUACACUGCUGUGCAGGAUGAUGCUCCCAUCUCUUUAUAGAUCUUCAAGCUAUCUGGGGAGAGGUGGGGAUUCACCUUCAAAAAAAAAAAAUAAAAAAGAUUGUUCCUGUUCUGGUGAAGGACUUGAGUGCCGAUGCAGCUCUAAGCAUGGGAGGAAGUUACGUGUGUUUCAUGAGAUGGCUCACCUUUAAAAUUAAACUACUUAAUAACUU
rnacentral:lncRNA from 7 species